GGAGGAAGGUGGGGAUGACGUCAAGUCCUCAUGGCCCUUACNGGCUGGGCUACACACGUGCUACAAUGGCAUCUACAGUGAGCAGCGAUCCCGCGAGGGUUAGCUAAUCUCCAAAAGAUGUCUCAGUUCGGAUUGUUCUCUGCAACUCGAGAGCAUGAAGGCGGAAUCGCUAGUAAUCGCGGAUCAGCAUGCCGCGGUGAAUACAUUCCCAGGCCUUGUACACACCGCCCGU
rnacentral:rRNA from 1 species